UUGAUUGAAAGGAAGAACAAUGAAGAAACCCUAAUAUCAACAAAGAAGAUGAGAGAAUUGAAAGAGCUGACAGAAGAGAGUGAGCACACGCUUCGAGCAAUUGUAUGAAAAAAGUUCAUACCUUUACUAGUGUGUGUUCAUGUCUCUUUCCGUCAGCCUUCUCUUCUCAUUCUCUCUAGAUGUCAGAUCCUACAUCGAUUGGAGGGAAACGAGACAUUUAUGCUGAACCGGAGUAGCAAAUCUAGAAAUAAAUGGGGGAUGACAUGGAAAUUUUAAAUCCACACCAACCGUCCAAGUGGGUCAUUGAUUACCCAAUGAGUAACAUCCUAUGUGGACACGUCCAAGUGGGUCAUUGAUUACCCAAUGAGUAACAUCCUAUGUGGACAACUUAUUCCUUUCCAGCCCUAAAGGGGAACCCAUGCUCAAUGGAAAAAGGAAGACCAAGAGUAGGAGAGCCACACCUUGAGAAAAAAAAAUCGAAUUACACAGCAGCAGCAGCCUCUGCUGCAGUGAACUGCUGUGAAACCAGAGAAGAAGAAGAAAACCUUAAUCGAGCAGCGGUUGAUAGCAGAAGGAAAAGGAGACCAACAAAGAUUGAUUAGGGCAAAGAGGUGGACGUGAGAGCCCAAGAGAAGGGAACUUCUAUUGACGAACGGCAACAAACCGGGAUAACUCUCUAUUUCCUUAUUCCAUCAAUUUUACAUGAUGAAGAUGCGGAUUCCUUUGUUUAA